rnacentral:lncRNA from 1 species
GAUGGGGACCCUUAGCAUUGUACAGGUGCACAUACCCGUUCCUGUGUAAUUUAAGCAGCCAAAUUAACACAAAUAGCAUUAGAACCAACCCACAACAUUCAAUUCCAAAACAGAGAAAAAGAAAGAAUGCUCUGGAUUGAAAAUAAAAGGACUUUGGAGCCCAGCAAACCUGGCCUACAAUUUAGACUCAAAUCCUAAAACAGUAGCUUUAGAGAAAAUAUACCUUUGGAGGAACUGCACGUUUUGUAAAAUGACUAUGCUCUUUUCUACACUUUGCAAAACCAUGUACAGAUGAGGCAGUCACAGGAAAUCCAGCACCUGGUCAUGGUCCACAAAUGGCACUUGGUGUUUAUUUUAAUUGCUUGAAGAUCUUGGCGUAGAGCCAAUUUUUCUCUGAGCUCCAUUCUCUUCCCUGUAAGACUCUGAGAUCAUGCAGUAUCGGGAAAGCCUCAUGGAGUCUGCAAACAUGCCAUGUAUUUACUGCACUCUCUGAAAUUAUACAUAAAAAUUGCCAAGUACCAAACUUAUUAGGGUACUGCCUACCCAUGAUCUUUCUAGAACUGUUUCGAUCACUGAGUAUUUCCUCCCUCAAAGUUUAUUUCUUUCUUAACCUCUCAGACAUAGAAAGAAUCUUUUGCUCUCUGGCCCACCAAGAUUUAAGAGACAUGUUUCUGUAUAAGAGCAUAUAUGGUUUCAGAAAUUGCCACUGUGGGAAAUCCCGACUCAUUGGGUGACUUUACUUGAAAGAACAACAUAGGUCACAUAAAUCAAACUGAACACACCUGGACAUCAUCCCUCUGAUGUCACCUUCUCUCCUCAGCUUCUACUGACAGUAGCUGAUUCUAUAUUCAAGCUGACCUCAUUUGUCUGCAACAUUAAUGUGGGUCAGAACUACUGACAGCUGAGAUUUGGACCUUGACCUCAAGCACUCUAAAUUCAUUCAAGAUAAAUAAAUAAAUGCAUGGCAUGAAAGUAUCAUUAUCCCCAUUAUUUGCAGAAAGAGAAACAAAUUCAAAAAGUUUCACUGACGUUGUCUAAGUAGACAGGCAUGUCAUGAACCUGGCUUUGCUGGUUAGAAAGCUAUGGGGGAAUCCAUUGGUAUUUAAAGAUCAAAUUUACAGGCUUAAGGGAAAGAAAGAGAUAAAAACAAAAACAACAAAACAAACAACAAACAAACAAAAACCAACAACAACAAAAAAACAAACUCUGCCUGAUUCUUAAGCAUUCCUUCAGUUCUUUUCCUAAUUUUUAUGUUAUAAAUGGGCUGCAUACAUACCCUUAGGUAGUAUUCCCAGUGACAGAUACUUGCCCAAUAAUGGUCUCAAUAUUCUUCAAGUUGAAUUCAAUGCCUUUCAGAUGUUCUGUUACCUACAGUUUUUUCCUAGAAAAUCUUGGAUGAGCAUUUACUAGUUUUAAGCAAGUAACUCAACCCCUUGGUAUCUGAAUCAUUCCACAACUAAAAGAUGGAGACAGAAAUAUCUAAAGUAAAGAUUUAUCAUGAAAUCAAUUCAAGUGUGUGCAAGAACAGAUUUCCUACGUGUUGUAGGGCUUAGUAAAUUCCCAAUCACCGUAUUACUUCAUGAUGCUUUUGAACCUUUGAAAUCAGCAUUUGACUGAUAACAUUUUAUUGUGAUAUAGUAGGUUAAUUUUUAUAGAUAAAAAUGGUAAAUGUUUCUACUUUUGAGAGAUUCGGCCUACAAAAGGAAUUAUGGAAUUUAAAGUAAUCCAUGGUUUUAAGUUUACAAUAUCCUAAUUUCUUAUAAAAAUUAUUAAAUAACUGAAACUUUGCCCCCCAAUUUUGAUUGAUCUAUAAAAAUUUCCAUAAUUAGGCCAUGACUUAUAGAAGAGGGGGUCUGAAAAUUCACAGUGAGAUUGUAAAGUAAAGUAGAUAGACUCCUCCUGGGGAAUUUACGGACCCUGAAAAAAGGCUAAGAGCUCCUUGUUCUUUGUUAUAAAAAUACAAUUAUUCAUUUACUCCUCUCACCUUCCAUCAUUGCCCCAGAGCUAUAAAUCUACUCAACACCAAUAUCACCUGCUUAGACCUUUUCCUAACAGGUUUCCUACAGAGUCCCCCUUGCCCACAUUGGGUCAGCAUCUUAGAGGCACCCUUCUAGAAGCCAUCCUCUAUGCCAUGAGUCAUGCACAUGCAGCGAGCAGCUCCACACUACAGUGCUGAUACCUCAACUCUUCCAAAACCUUUCCUACAACAUUCUAGGUUAGGUUAGAGAGAAGAGCUUCCCAGAAUAAGAGAGAAUAAUAAGAUUUGAAUUGUUUCCCCUCUGAAUGCUUAGAAAGAUUAUGCUAAAAAGAAUCUGAGCAAUUUCUUUGGUUCAUUCAUGGAGCUGUUAGUUAUUGAAUACCAAUUCUUA